UGCAUGAAAAACGGCUGGGGGAUUUAAUACAGUUCCAGAUGAGAGAGAUCCUCAACCCCCUAAGAAGAGACCAAAAGCGAGAGUAAGAGGGAUUAACAGGGAGCAAUGGAGGCAGCACACAGUGAGCUCGGGGUAAAACUGAGUCAUCCAGCAUCGUCUCAGGGACAGAAUGUACCAUCUCUCUUCACAUUAAAGAUAAACAGUGUUGAAUGGCACUACAGUAUUUUUCAUAAUCCAGAUUCACACAACGAGCUGUGCUUGUACUCUUCCUGAUAGAUGACGUCUUUAAGGAUCUACCAUUUGCUUCUGGCCUCCUCUCUGUUCUCACCCUAAAAUGGCUACCCAGGCACCUGCCAGAGACAUCUGGCCAAAACAACUUAACAAAAGCAUCCAUCAAGGGCAAAUACAUCACCAGGAUUACAGGAUGAAACAUAAAAAAUGUGGCAUUAGGAAAAUGUUCUUAUAUAAUGCAUUGGUCUUUUGCAGUGACAUAAUACUCACUAUCCCGACACAAUUACAUAAGAACUACAUCCCUCUGACCCUCGAAACACACCUACUCCAUAAACGUACAUUUCCAUAAGCUGUUAUUAAAAGUGUCACCUGCUAUAAAUAUAACUGUGUCAUAUCAGGUUAUCUAUAUAUAACAUAUACUGUAUGUAAUAUAGGUUAUAUAUGUUUAAUGCUGCAAGUUUCUGUGCAGACUGUGUCUAGUGCCGGCAGUAAUGUUGUCUGUCUUUCACUUCAUAUUGACAAAUUAAUCAGACUAAUUUAUGCACAUGAUCACAGUCCAUUAUACACACAAAUACAAACUUAAAACACUGCAUGCUGAUUGGUUGAGCCCUGUUGUUGACAUCUUCUGUGUUGAUUAAUUAAAUACAUAAUUAUGGUUCCUGACAUAUUACAUAUUGCUGUAAAAUAUACAGAAUAUGUGUGA